CAAGAAAAGAACUGCAGAAGCAAUUCAGUGCUUGCUUUGGUCACAGAAUCUGAAGAGACUGUUGCCAUGGGUACAUAGAAUCAAGUCUUAAAGGGGAUUUAAGGACGUGAAGGAGCAGAAACGACAACACAUCAUGGAAGAUUCAAGAACUGUAGAUGCCUGAAGAAAAUGAUGAUCUGAAACACAGAGACACGGAAAAGAAAAGUAGCCACUCAUGCGAUGAAGACAAGGCUGACGGAUACACUGCAGACAUCGAAAGCCAGCAGCAGAAUUCUCCACCAGCCAGUCUACAAGGCAGAGGCCUGCAGAAGAUAUGGUUACUAGGUGUUCUGAAUGCUUCCAGAGUGCAUUGCUGCAGGCAACAAAAGUGAGCAAUGGUUGAUUUCAGAAGCUUUCUAAGCAUGAUCAAAAAGGGGCUGAAAGCCACCUGACAGCUCUUCAGUCACACGUUACAGAAUCAAGGUAUAAAAUUAUUGUGUACCCUCUUAUAUUUUUGCCAGUCUUUAUUUUAUAAAGAACACUGUCUCUGUGAAUAUUCAACUAGUUUUUAUAAUCCAGGUAUUUCUACACAACUUAUUCAUAGAUCAGGUUUUUUCUACUUUUAGUCUAAUAAGAUGAUAGACUGAUUCUUGUACUGUGCUAUUUCUGCACACCAUUUAUUGAUAAUGAGUUUUUCUGCUACCUGAUUAUGUUGAUUUUUUUCAAAGAAAAUGUUAUACAAAUAAUAAAAUAGGAAUUUCAUGGAUUUUCCCUUUCUGUUAGUUCGGUCAUAGAGUUCUCUGGUGCUAUACAGUAUAAAUAGUUAAUCCUGAUAUAUAUUGAGUGCUAUUGUGGAAUUGCAUUUUUAGCCAAGGUGACUUCAGUCAAUUGUCACAUUGGCUUGAGACCUCAUAAAAACAAACCCCCCAUAUUUAUCUGCAUAUAUACAUAUAAGAUGUGUUUUUAUGCCUUGGUUUUAAUAACUGACAGUGAAAAUUAAUAUUUAAUGAUGGGGGACAGAAGUUUUCUUCAGUUGUGAGGCCACCUAAUUUGUGUCCUUGACAAUGAACAGCACUAUGAUUAUGGAAUUCCAAAAUAAUUGAUGUGCUCAUAUGAAAGUUAAUAUUGGACUUCAAUAUUGUAAAAAUAAAAUAUUUUUGUCACUUUGUGAA